AUUGAACGCUGGCGGCAGGCCUAACACAUGCAAGUCGAACGAGUGGCGGACGGGUGAGCAAUGUCUGGGAAACUGCCUGAUGGAGGGGGAUAACUACUGGAAACGGUAGCUAAUACCGCAUACCAUCAGAUGUGCCCAGAUGGGAUUAGCUAGUGGGUGGGGUAAAGGCUCACCAAGGCGACGAUCCCUAGCUGGUCUGAGAGGAUGACCAGCCACACUGGAACUGAGACACGGUCCAGACUCCUACGGGAGGCAGCAGUGGGGAAUAUUGCACAAUGGGCGCAAGCCUGAUACAGCCAUGCCGCGUGUAUGAAGAAGGCCUUCGGGUUGUAAAGUACUUUCAGCGGGGAGGCGUUACCCGCAGAAGAAGCACCGGCUAACUCCGUGCCAGCAGCCGCGGUAAUAC
rnacentral:rRNA from 1 species